rnacentral:rRNA from 1 species
AUUGAACGCUGGCGGCAGGCCUAACACAUGCAAGUCGAGCGGAUGAAGGGAGCUUGCUCCUGGAUUCAGCGGCGGACGGGUGAGUAAUGCCUAGGAAUCUGCCUGGUAGUGGGGGAUAACGUCCGGAAACGGGCGCUAAUACCGCAUACGUCCUGAGGGAGAAAGUGGGGGAUCUUCGGACCUCACGCUAUCAGAUGAGCCUAGGUCGGAUUAGCUAGUUGGUGGGGUAAAGGCCUACCAAGGCGACGAUCCGUAACUGGUCUGAGAGGAUGAUCAGUCACACUGGAACUGAGACACGGUCCAGACUCCUACGGGAGGCAGCAGUGGGGAAUAUUGGACAAUGGGCGAAAGCCUGAUCCAGCCAUGCCGCGUGUGUGAAGAAGGUCUUCGGAUUGUAAAGCACUUUAAGUUGGGAGGAAGGGCAGUAAGUUAAUACCUUGCUGUUUUGACGUUACCAACAGAAUAAGCACCGGCUAACUUAGUG